rnacentral:rRNA from 1 species
AUUGAACGCUGGCGGCAUGCUUUACACAUGCAAGUCGAACGGUAACAGCACUUCGGUGGCUGACGAGUGGCGAACGGGUGAGUAAUACAUCGGAACGUGCCUAGUAGUGGGGGAUAACUACUCGAAAGAGUAGCUAAUACCGCAUGAGAUCUAAGGAUGAAAGCAGGGGACCUUCGGGCCUUGCGCUACUAGAGCGGCUGAUGGCAGAUUAGGUAGUUGGUGGGAUAAAAGCUUACCAAGCCGACGAUCUGUAGCUGGUCUGAGAGGACGACCAGCCACACUGGGACUGAGCCACGGCCCAGACUCCUACGGGAGGCAGCAGUGGGGAAUUUUGGACAAUGGGCGCAAGCCUGAUCCAGCAAUGCCGCGUGCAGGAUGAAGGCCUUCGGGUUGUAAACUGCUUUUGUACGGAACGAAAAGCCCUCUUCUAAUACAGGAGGGUCAUGACGGUACCGGAAGAAUAAGCACCGGCUAACUACGUG